rnacentral:misc_RNA from 1 species
AAAAAAAAGAAAGGAUGUGUGCAGCUAAGAGAACAUUUUAAAAAUUACAUGAUGAGGUUUGUCUCAGAUUUUAUGAUGAUAUGUUGAUAUGCUGUUCAACUAUUCACAAUUUUUCGCGCGAGUACUUUUGUUAUUUGAAAAGUUUACAGACUCAAACUAUUAUGAGGAGUGUUUUGUUGAAAGUAAAAUGCUACAACCUUGAAGAUUAUUGUUCUUGUUUAUUUCUUCUGAGAACCCGCCCCACCCCGCGCCCCCCCCCCAG